GCUUCCUGGUUCACAGUGCAGCACCAUCUUACUGUGUUCUCACAUGGUGGAAGGAGACAUAGCAGCUCUCUAGGGCCUCUUUUAUAAGGGCGCUAAUCUCAUUUAUGAGGGCUCUGCCCUCUUGCUCCAGUCACCAGACAAAGACCCGACUUCCUAAUAUCAUCAUAUUGUAAGUAGGGUUGAACAUGUGAAUUUUGGGGUGGGGAAACAUAGGCAUUUAGACCAGGUCAUCCAGUGACACAUCUUUUCUCUUGUGCUGGAUUGUUUUCCCAGAAAAAAUUUCUCAUCUUUUGCCAGGAGAGAACAAGCUUGAGAGCUGAGUAGGAAAAGGGGACAUGGGUUUCAUCUUUAAGCAUGCAGAUUAAGCUAAUUACCCAGUUUUCAUUAUGGCACUCUUCAAAUUCAAUUGAACAUGUUGUCCUCUAGUCUAGAUAUAUGCUGUUAUAUGCUUUCCAGAGAUUGUUUACUCUUUUGUCAGAAGGGGUUGAAGGUAGAAUAGGAAGUCUAGUUUGGAUUCCGCUGUCACUCCCAGAGUGUCUGAGACUUCCAGUUCCUGAGCCCCUUAGUUUAUUUUUUUGUUUGUUUAUUUUAAUGUGUUUACACAAGAAUUGCAGAAAGAGUAUAAAUUCCGUAUACCCUUCACUCAGCUUCUUUUUAUCUUAACGUCUUAUGUAACCAUAGAACAAUGAUCAGAAGAAAUUAACCUUAGUAUAAUAUUAACUAUACUACAGAAUUUAUUCAGAUUUUACCAGUUUUCCCACUCAAGAUUUUUAUUUCAAGAUCCAAAUUGUGGAUGCCACAUUGCAUUUAGUUGUAUCUCCUUAGUUUCCUUUUAUCUGUGAUAAUUUUUCAAUCUUCUUUUUCAUGAUCUUGACACUUUUGAAGAGGACUGGUCAGUUAUUUCAUGGAAUGGCUCUCCAUUUGGGUUUGUGGAUGCUCUCUCAUGCAUAGAUUGAGGUUAUGAAUUAAAAAGAAGGAGAUCACUAGAUGGGAUGUGUUUCUCUCAGUGCAUUAUGUGGGGGGUGCCAUGAUGCUGAUAGGUACUACUGGUGAUAACCUUGAUCACUUGGGUAAGGGGGUGUCUGCUAGGUUUCUCCACUGUGAAUUUACUGUUUUUCUCUUUAAUAAUUGUUAAAUGCUUUGAUUUAAAGUCACUCAACCAGGCAGGUAAAACUUUAAAAAUAAAGAAAAUAGCUUUUAAAAAUCAAAGUCUUUGAGACCAUGGAGGUAUCCUGUUCCCCCUAAAUUUCUGCCCACUAAUUUUAUCGUCCAUCUGUGGUCUUGUCUGCAGCAGUUAUUACUAUGGCUUAAUAGUAGUGAUUUUCUAUUUCUCUCAUUAUUUCUACAUUUAUUAAUUGGAAUUCUGUGAGGAGAAUUUGUCCCUCCCUCCCAUUUAUUUACUAAUUUAUAUGAGUAUGAAUUUAUGGAUAUUUAUUCUUUGGAUUAUAAUCCAAUUCUGUAUCAUUUAUUUUGUUGAUCAAACUGUUCCAGUUUUGGCCAGGGAGUGCUCGUUCUGGUUGGCUUCUGUCCUCAUCCUUGCUUUUUGAGCACUCACUUCCUUACUUUCUGACACCACAUAAUGCUUCAGCCCAUCUUAUGUUUUCCUUGCCCCAACCCUGGAAUCAACUACUUCUCCAAGGAGUUUUGAGGUCUUUGGUGUACUAAAUGUCAACGUGAUAUAAACUAGGUGUUUUUGGUUUUCCUCUUGGCUAACGUGGAAUUCAGCCUUCCCAGAUGUAAUUGUCAUUGCCACUUAUUCUGUUUUCUAGCUUUUAAAAGUGUGUUUCUGUUUCUUUGGGGUUAAUAAUCUUUCCAAAAUUUCUUCACUGGGAGGCAUUAGAGCUAAAUCCUUAUAUUCAGUCUAUCUUCUUUAACUAGAGAUUUUUAAUGUUUUUGUCUCAUGCCUCAAGCCAGUUUUGUUCAAACCACAUUUCACUACAUUAGUUGCCAUUCCCCAAAUGUGCUAUUAUAUGUUCAUGUGUCGCUUCUGUGCCCUUGCCCUGAGUGAAUACUAUGAAGUAUUUGGUUUUGUCCUACAGUUUUUAAGGAGUUUUAAGUGGGUAGACUUUGGUUUUACAUGAAAAUGACUGUUUGAGUAGUUAGGAUUCCUGCAUCUCUUCUAUUUUCCCUUUUAUGGAUUAGCCAUAUAAAUUUUUUGUGUCUUACUGCCCAGAUACUGUAAUUUUUUUUUUUUUCCCAAAUGGAAAAGAGGAGUUCCUGCAUCUCCAGAAUAGUAGGGUAUGGUGGUAGCCCAAGUUAGAAAAGAUCGUAUCAAAAACAAGGGUUGUAAAAAACAUUAAGUAUAUAUUUAAAUAUCUAUUGUAAAUUAAAUUUCCAAAAGACAUCCACUUUUAAAACAAAUUCCUUGGUGCUAAGGACUUCCUUGAGUUUAGGCAGCAUGUUUAGGUGACAUGAUAUGCAGAGGCAUAUUCCAUUAUGAGGGUUAUGACACAGAUUUUUAAGUGUUCUUCCCAGGUAUUGGUGGCUUAAAAUCACAGACAGACAUUCUCCGUUGUGAAAAUGUCUUUGACAAAAUGAUUGCGCUUGGCAGUGAUGGCAGAUGAUCGACAAAAAAUGAUGUGAUCUUUCACAUCAACAUUCUUAAAGAAUAUGUUUUUUUCCUGAACCUGGUUUUUCUGGUGUAGUGUAAGAAGGAAUAGAUGUAGGUGUAGUGUGAGUAAAUGUAUGUGUCCUCUCUACCCUACUACAUACUUCCAUUUACUUUGUCCCUAGGUGUGGAAGUAAUUGCCCUCUUUUUUCAUUUAUUGAAACUAAACUGAAACAUGCAUACAUAAGGCAUCCAUGUCUAUGGAUGUUUUAAUUUAUGCAAAACUGUUAUUGAUAUAAUCUGCUUUUGAGAGAUUGCUGUUUUUAUAAAAAUUGCUGACAUAGAUGUCUCAAGUUUUGAUGUUCUUUAAAACAUGCUCUUAAAAUCCUAUCCAACCAGCAAAAUCCAGCCUGAAAAAUCUCCUCUCUCAACCUGAUUGCAUAUUCUUAACUCUAAAAUCCUGCAGCACCUUUGGCAUUUGAAAAAUUCUGCUUCUUUAUUAUAAGUUAUUUGUUCCUCAGAGUCAGGACACCACAGCUGGAGUCCCUAGGUUCAAAUACCAACUGUCUGACAUUGGGCAAAUUCCUUAACCUGUCAGUACCUUAGUUAAUUAAGGGUAAUUCUAACUACCUCCUAGCAUUGUUGGGAAGAUUAAAUGAAUUAAUAUAUGUAAUGUGUCAUGCAUGUAAUAAGGUAUCAAUAGAUGUUAGCAAUUACCACCUUCUGUUACUACCAUGAUUACUAUUAUUACCUUCAUUUUUAUAUCUUCCCCAGGGUCUAUCACAAUGUGCAGUGCAUUUUUGUUGCUCAAUAAAUAUUUGUGCAUUAAAUGAAAACGAAAUUAUAUUUUAGUUAUGCAAGUCAUUUGAAGUUAUAGUUCUGAUUACAGCCUGUCAGCUACACACUUUAAUGUGUAUAGUACUAAUCCUAAAUGAUUGUUAGAUUUGAUAGGCUCUCUUACAUGAUCAAGUAAGACCUAUUGUUACAGCUUUGAAAAUUGAAACACAUAACAAAAUGAAAGUAUUAAAGGAAUUUUGAGUUAAGCCAAUGAGGUCCUGAGAAAAAUUAGUUUGGUUUAUAUAGGUGAUUGUCAAAAUAAUUCACUAGAUUAAUACAUUUCUUGUUUAUUAGGAUUCAGUGUGAAAUGUUAUUUUAAAGCAGGAUCCAUGUUAAGUCAUGGUUUCUGAGAGAUUUUGGUGUGUUUGAUAAUUCUGAUUUUCUGUAGCUCUGGUGUAGAACUAGUUGACAUGGAUGGAAGAGACUGUUGCUGUCAGUGGUAAUGUGAUGAUGCUUUAGAUUUGACGCUGUGUAGUGAACUGCUUCUACACUAAAAUUUUUCAAAUAUUAGUGUAAUAGGCUUAUAUUAAAGUUACUUUCUAGGAGAGAAAAAUUAAAGGCUAAAUGACAUAAUUCAGAAAAAAUAAAGAUGUUAAUCUGAUACCUUUGGUAAGAUUAUAGGUUUAACUUAAGGAAAAUCAUGAACCUCAUUUACAACCUCAGUGAAAUUUUUUAGUAUAACCAAAGCAUUCUUGUUUACUAUAAAUACCUUUAUUGUUUUAAAUACUUACUUGUAUUUAGUCAUAACUGCGCUUUAGGUUUUUUUUUUUUUUUUUUUUUUUUAGUAUCGAUUUCCAUGACUCCUGAUUUUCUGGAAUUCAUUCAGUUAAACGUUAAGUUAGUAGCUGUCAAGAACUACUACGAGGGAUUCGAAGAUUAAUAAGGAAUCUGGCCUAGUUCUAGAUCCUAGUGUAGUCUAAUGGAAGAGACAAACAGGUGACCAGACAAAUGAAUAAUGUGGAAAUAAAGUGGAACCAUAGAGAAGGAGCAGCCAGCUUUCUUGAGGGGUUUGGUGAGCAUGUAAUCAGAAAGGCUGACUUGAUUAUUAUGUAGAGAACGAGGAAGAGUGUUCAAAACGAGUGUUUGCAGUGCAUUUUAGAAAGUGGCAAAAAAUUUAGUGUAGAUGCAUGGGGCGUCUGGUUCUGGCAGGUUGUGUCUAAAAAUUUCAAAGACUUUGUGUGCCUAGAAAGAGUUUAGAUUUUUACUGUGUAGACAUUAGGGGGCAAGAAAUAUUUUUUUUUCCUCAGAAAAAGUCAACAGAUUUUUUUAAAAAUAAUUGUUAUAAAGUUUAGUUGCUGAAACUUAUUCAUGGAAACAUUUUUUUACUUGCAUGAAUGUUUUUUGUCCCUAACAUCAAUACUAAAAAUUUACGUGCAGAUCAAAAUGGGCAGAAAACUUGCUAAUACCUUAUUGUCUCAUCCAUUUUUUUCCCCAUUUGCAGUCAUAUAAUUAGGUAUUUUUUUGUUUUUUAAGAAUAAAAUGUUUCCUUUCAUAAUACAUCUUAGCACGUUUUCUGUACAUAGGGUCUUUUUGGCAGGAUGUCCUUUGGCAUAAUUGUUACAUGUUUGAUACGAAUAACACAAGGAUUGGUAGAGUCUUCAAAUAGGCUAGCCAGGUAGGCCUCACUUCUCUUUAGAAAAAUGUCAGGGACUGCACUCUGGGAGUGUAGAUUUGUUUUGAAGUUCUCUCAACUGAUGCUGGAAGGGAAGUUGCCAAGUGAGAAGUUCCAUGUACGUUUGAUAACUUCUGAUAUUCACCGAGAGCCACAGUACAAGGCUUAUAAUGAUGUGGUUUCUUAACUUUUCUAGUAUACAACACAUUCUUGUGAGUGGCUUUUGUAGCUAGUUGCUUCCUGCAUGCUUUACCACUGGCUUUUCUGUGGGCAUUUGGCUUGGUAGGAACUGCAGUGUAGAGAACGUCCCUAUUUACUUCCCGUCUUGACUGAAGCUCUGCAAGCUAAAGGUGGCACUGUGCUAGGCAGUCAUGACUGUGGGUGGCAGUCACAUUGCAGUAACUGAGAACACCGUAAGGAAUGUCUUUAAUUUGAGAAUUAAUGAAAUCUUCCUAAGGAUAUCCACAGUGCUCCAAAUAAUAUUUA